rnacentral:rRNA from 1 species
CCCUUAGAUGUCCUGGGCCGCACGCGCGCUACACUGAUGCAUUCAACGAGCUUUACCUUGGCCGAGAGGCCUGGGCAAUCUUUUAAACCUGCAUCGUGAUAGGGAUAGAUUAUUGCAAUUAUUAAUCUUGAACGAGGAAUUCCUAGUAAACGCAAAUCAUCGAUUUGCAUUGAUUACGUCCCUGCCCUUUGUACACACCGCCCGUCGCACCUACCGAUUGAAUGGUCCGGUGAAGCCUCGGGAUUGUGGCCAGUUCACUUUAUUGGGAGUUGGCUGUGAGAACUUGUCUAAACCUUAUCAUUUAGAGGAAGGUGAAGUCGUAACA